AUGUGUCCAUAUCAUCUUGAAACACCAGUUCCCGUAUGAUAACCAAAGUUAAGCAACAUAAAGCCUGGUCAGUACUUAAAUGGGUGACCACUUAAGAAUAUCAUGUACU